rnacentral:tRNA from 1 species
GUGGGCAUAUGAGGGACCGCCUGACGACCUUGCCAAGGUCGGGGUCGAGGGUUCGAGCCCCUUCGCCCGCUCCA